rnacentral:rRNA from 1 species
GACAGAGGGGGCAAGCGUUGCUCGGAAUUACUGGGCGUAAAGGGCGCGUAGGCGGGAUGGCAAGUCGGUCGUGAAAUCCUUCGGCUCAACCGAAGAACGUCGAUCGAUACUGCUGUUCUUGAGGGUUGCAGAGGAGACUGGAAUUCCCGGUGUAGCGGUGAAAUGUGUAGAGAUCAGGAGGAAUACCGAUGGCGAAGGCAGGUCCCUGGGUUGACACUGACGCUCAUGCACGAAAGCGUGGGGAGCAAACAGG